rnacentral:rRNA from 1 species
UACGUAGGGUGCGAGCGUUGUCCGGAAUUAUUGGGCGUAAAGAGCUUGUAGGCGGUUUGUCGCGUCUGCUGUGAAAAUCCGGGGCUCAACCCCGGACUUGCAGUGGGUACGGGCAGACUAGAGUGUGGUAGGGGAGACUGGAAUUCCUGGUGUAGCGGUGAAAUGCGCAGAUAUCAGGAGGAACACCGAUGGCGAAGGCAGGUCUCUGGGCCACUACUGACGCUGAGAAGCGAAAGCUAGGGUAGCGAACGGGAUUAGAUAUCCGCGUA